rnacentral:snRNA from 1 species
AUACUUACCUGGCAGGGGAGAUACCAUGAUCAAGAAGGUGGUUCACCCAGGGCGAGGCUCAGCCAUUGCACUCCGGUUGUGCUGACCCCUGCGAAUGGGGGUGCGCCGUACGGUAGUGCAAUUUGUAAACGAUGCGAUUGGUCCAGA